rnacentral:rRNA from 1 species
UACGAAGGGGGCUAGCGUUGCUCGGAAUCACUGGGCGUAAAGCGCACGUAGGCGGAUUGCUAAGUCAGGGGUGAAAUCCUGGAGCUCAACUCCAGAACUGCCCUUGAUACUGGCGGUCUCGAGUCCGGGAGAGGUGAGUGGAACUGCGAGUGUAGAGGUGAAAUUCGUAGAUAUUCGCAAGAACACCAGUGGCGAAGGCGGCGCACUGGCCCGGUACUGACGCUGAGGUGCGAAAGCGUGGGGAGCAAACAGG